GGGCUUUCCACCGCGACGGGGAAUGCCUAUAUUCCGCGGGUCGGGGCUUGCCUCGACUAUGGCGAUAAACUGACGAUGAAAUAAACCAUUCGGACCCGGGGGCGGUACCCGGCGCCUCCACCUGAGCCCAUCCCCAGCGAUGGGUUGAGGCGGGGGCGAAAUAGGAUCGACGAGGGUGUAAAGAUCGGACUUUCGCUCGGCAUGGUACCACCGUCAUCGGGCUGUAAAAGUAGUUGCCAACGACAACUAUGCGGAAGUGCGUCUCGCCGCGUAAGCGGUGCGAUAACUUCGAAUCAAGCCCUGAGGGUUCGCACUCUUAGGCGGGGCCCGGAGGCGCCUGGCAACAGAAGCCUCCACC
rnacentral:tmRNA from 1 species